ACCCUAAGUCUAUCUGCGAUAUUGUGUGAGAAAAAAGGAGUGGGCGGCGGAAAGAAGAAAGGGGAUCGGGCGAGCGAGGAACCCUAACCUUCUCUGAAUUUGGCACGUCGUCGAUUGGAGCGAGCUAUGAGAGGUCAGGCCAUGGCCACCGCGCUUCGACAAGCGGCGAGGAGAGCGGCGGAGGCUUUUGGGCGUCCGCUGUCUUGGGCAGGGAUUUCCCAGGAGCUCACGCCCGAUCAAAAGAAGGAUGCUCUGAUUCGCUUGGCCAUCAUCCAAGUCAGGAAGGAGGAGCUCUACAAUCAGAUUUCCGCGUGGCAUGAGGAGUACUGUCUUGAGGAAAGGUUAGGCAACAAAAACGUCCGUUUGCUGAAACAACUCUCUGAGCAUGUCGAACCUAGGCCCGAGGAUCACCGCUGGCGUCGGCGUCAGCGGUCAGUAUACUAUAAUCGUUUCUUGGAAUAUGCGGGGGCAGUUUUUAUCGGAACGUUGGUAGGAGAUGCCUGGAGUUCGCAAUAAUGUCCAUCGGAGUUCGCAAUAAUGUCCAUCGGAGUGAUCGAGUCAAUUAGUAUGCCGUCUUACAUUGGAUCAAAUUAAGGCAUAUUAUAUCAUAUCUAAGAAUGUUGUGACAACGGCUGAUUGUAUUUCCAGUGUUGUCGUCUGUUGAGUUUCUCUUUCUCUGUCGUAUCUGUUGCUGAUGAGACGAGAGGUCUCGUCCAGAUUAAAUAAUUAGAUACUGUUUAAUGUA